GAGCCCGCCUGGGGGAGCGGCCCGGGCCCGGGCCCGCCUCGAGGGGCGGCGCCUGCGGAACCACCCCGGCGGCGCGGGGAAGCGCGGCCUCUUCGGGCGCGGGCGGCCGCGAGGCACGUGGGUUUGCGCGUUCCCGCGGGCGGGGGCCGCGGCGGCUGUCCGAAGAAACGAGGAAGCUGUCGGUGCUGCUCUGAAGGCCCACGUGGAAGGGUUUGCGCAGGGGAAGCUCAGGACCCACGCUGCUCCCAGAGGAGCCAUGGUUUCAGGAUCCGGCCUUAGCAAAUGGAAGUAGCGUGCGAGGUACAACGAGAACUUCGCAGACGAUUUGUUGAUGGUUGAGCCACGCUCGCUGCUAGUUCAAAACUGUACUGUUUUCUUUGGCCUGUUUAUUAAACUGACUUAAACUUGG